UGCUCAGAGCAGUGAGAAGGGUUACGACGUGGGGGUCGGUGUGUCGAAGGGGUCGCGGUUGUUGGAAAGAGGGGGAGCGAACGCGCAAAGGUGGCGUCGGCGUCGCGACGCCCGGAGAGAGUCAGUCACCAGCCGACCUCAACGCGCCGCGUAACCUCGCUCGUCGACCCAGAAACCUAGCGCUGCUUCUCUAUCUCGCGCUGAACCGGAAACGGGGGCUGUCGCGGCACCGGAAACGUGGCAUCGUGGCCGUCUCCACGGAAAAAUCGUCGAUUGAAUCUUAUCGUUUCUCUUAUGAGAGAAAAAAAGAGCGUGAUCGCGUCGUGCGCGGAAAACGAGGGAAUCCAGAGUGCUCGAAAGAAAACGAUCGUUUCAUUCUAUUUUAGUGGCAAAUUUUAGGCAAAUUAAAAGUGUGUUUGAGAAAGUUUGGAAUCGAUGAGAAGUUUGGAAUUCUUCAUUCUUGUUAUUCAAUUGUUAUUCGUUUAAACAUUGCCGUGGAGCACUUGAUAGGAGACUCGGUUUCCCGCGCGCGACUCAUCCCACCACGAAGAUGCCGGUACGCUCGGGCUCGAAUGUGAGAGACAGGACAUUUUUGUGAGAAAAAGUGUUGAGUGAAAAGUAGUUGACUUUGCUAGAGGCCGGCAAUAAAGUGGAAGGUUUUGUGAGGCAGAGGAUGAUAAAAUAAAGGAUUUUUUAAGAUAAAGGGAUAAUGGAAGGAAAAGUGUUCAGUACAGUGCAUUGAACAGUGUUCGAUAGAAGGGAGGAUUUAAAGAUGCACAUCUGGUUAGUUGUUGAGGGUUGAAAAUUAUAAAACAUUUUUAUCUCAAAUCAGGUAAUUUUGAGAGAAAAAGAUAAUAAAGAAUACCAGUGUUCUUUUAAUAACAGUAUGUAUUUAUAGAGGGGUUUAUCGAUGUACAGCAAGUUUAUGAUUGGGAAUUGUAAAUUGUAAAAUAUUUUAGUUCAAAUGAAUUGAACUUAUGACAGUACGUGUUUUAAUAAAAUACAGGGAUUUUUUAAAGGAAAAGAAUAAUAAAAGAAAGGUAAUGUUCUUUAAAGGAAGAAAUAAAAGCAGAAGAGUAUUGGUAGAGGGCAAACGUUGAAAGACAGUAUGUACUAUAUGGGAGACAACGUUCUGAUAAUGAUAUUGUAAAUGAUGAAUCAGAAGUGGAAGUUGUUAAAAAGCAUUUGAGCCGAAAAGUAAGAUUGGCAGAAUUGUAUCAACUGGACAUUUAGAAAAUAUUGUUUUGAUGUUGAGAUGAUAUGUAACGUUAUUAGCAAUUUUACAAUAAUAGCGCGUUAAUUUGGAUGAUACUUUUCAACUUUGCUAAAUAGAAGUUGAGAUUGGUGAAAAAAUAAUAUCUCACGUGUUUUGGAAGAAACUGAGCUAGAAUAUAUUGAAAAAAGAUAAGAUUUAAGGACAGCAGUUUUUGGAAGAAUUUUGACGACAUAUUAUUAAAAUUAGCUAACAAAAGUAUAUGCCAAGACAAAUAACCGUGUAUAAUAAAUUGUAUGCUAUUAUAUUAGAUUAAAUACUACCCAAUGUGUUCCAAAGAAAACGUAGAUUACCAAGAUCUAGUGAAUUAAAUAUUAACUGAAAUAAAUUGUAGAAUUCAUGAAAUAGUGACAAACAUUUCUUAAAAAAGGAAGAGAAGAACUGAAUUCUUAAAUAUUAAAAGAUUAGAAGACUGAGAUCCCAUGAAACUCUGUCCCCAAUGAAAAAACUAUUGUAUCGUGACAUUCUGCUAAAAAUUAACGAGCUGAGGUCUAAUCUAAUAUUCUCAAAAGAAGUGGAAGGAAACCAACACUCCAGGGGAGAUUAACGUUUCAUGGUGUACUUACUGGGUAGAAAAUUGUCGUGUCUAAUAAUCCUUCCAAAAGACGAAGAGAGGACUUGUUAUAUAAAAAUAGAAAAGAAAGACUUGAAAACGAAUUUUCUCGUUGCUGACGAAAGAGAAAUGAUGGUUAUAGAAUUUCAAAAAUAAAUAAAUAAAUAAAAUUAAGCGAGUAGAGAACAAUUUGAUAUAAUUCAGUUUAACGAGCAAAAGAACAUCCACGCAUGACUAAAAGAAAUAUCUAUCUAUCCCUAAACGAACUGACAAAAAAGUAACAUCCUCGAUCCACCAAAUAAUCCAAUUCCAAGAAAUUAGAUCUCGGGCAAUUCCUUCGUGACCAAACCACAUUAUAUCGAAAGAUAUCUAAUAUUUCCUCCCAAAAAAGGCGGAACAUACACACUUUGCUCCAUCAAUCUCCGAUAACAUCAAAUUCUCACAGUAUUACAGCAGAAAAAAGCAAUAUGCGCCAACUUUUCAAACAAGCCGAAAAGACCCAAAAAAGGGACUCCAUGAUAUAACCUGCUAAAGACUUGAGAAACUUUUACAACUCAACUCAAACUCCAACAUCAAAGAACCCAAACAUCUCACCUUCGCCGUUUUAUCACCGAUCUUCCCUCACAGCGUCCUUCAAUCUACUAAAAAGAGGCAAAGAAACCAGUGUCUCUCAUGUAGAACACAAAGCAUAGUAACAUCAAAACUACUAUCACACCGUUAGAAUUACAAUCGUUAUAAUUCACGUACGUCAUUUGAUCACCAAUCUCCCUGAAAAAGGAUUGAAGGAGAUCUCAGCGUCUCAUACGAAGAACGCAUCGUAACAUCUAAACUGAAUCGUAUCCUUACGACUGCAGCCGUUACAUUUGAUAUUCAGCGUUGCAUCAUCAAUUUCUCCUUAUAGUCUCCCUCAAUCUAUUAAGAAGAACCAUUUUAAAAAAGAGGAUCUUGAAGAACUCUCAUCGAAAACAUAACACAUCGUGUCAUCGAAGCUCGUAUCGUGUCUUCGAGUAAACUAGAAACUAGUCUUCGAGUCGAUUAGAUUCGACUGAACUGAAUCGAAGUGUUGGAAGCAAGGAAGUGUCAAGUGUGUUGGAAAGGAUCGGGUGGACCGUAUGCGGGAGCGACGAAUGCGGCCGGGAACGACGCAGUCGGGGCGAGGAAGCAGCGGCUGUGCACGGAGUCACUGACCUCUCAUCCCCAAUCACCGUCCAGAGUGUGAUGUUUGAUGCUGCAGUGGUGUUUUAUGCGGCGACGUCGAAAAGGUAUCUUGAACAAACGAACCAGUUAACGUUCAUCGAACGACACUGGAAGCAAUUGGUUCUCGCCGCUGGAACCUUGACACGCAG